UACGUAGGUGGCGAGCGUUGUCCGGAUUUACUGGGCGUAAAGGGCGUGCAGGCGGUUUGUUAAGUGCAGGGUGAAAGCUCCCGGCUCAACUGGGAGAGGUCCUUGCAUACUGGCGAACUCGAGGGAGGCAGAGGAAAGUGGAAUUCCCGGUGUAGUGGUGAUAUGCGUAGAUAUCGGGAGGAACACCUGUGGCGAAGGCGGCCCUCUGGCUCGACCCUGACGCUGAGGCGCGAAAGCGUGGGGAGCGAACGGG
rnacentral:rRNA from 1 species